rnacentral:rRNA from 1 species
UACGGGGGGGAGCAAGCGUUGUUCGGAUUUACUGGGCGUAAAGGGCGCGUAGGCGGCGUGACAAGUCACUUGUGAAAUCUCCGGGCUUAACCCGGAGCGGCCAAGUGAUACUGUCGUGCUAGAGUGCGGAAGGGGGCUACUGGAAUUCUCGGUGUAGCGGUGAAAUGCGUAGAUAUGCGGAGGAACACCGAUGGCGAAGGCAAUCCCCUGGGCCUGCACUGACGCUCAUGCACGAAAGCGUGGGGAGCAAACAGG